rnacentral:rRNA from 1 species
AACUUUUGACAACGGAUCUCUUGGUUCUCCCAUCGAUGAAGAACGCAGCGAAAUGCGAUAAGUAAUGUGAAUUGCAGAAUUCAGUGAAUCAUCGAAUCUUUGAACGCACCUUGCGCUCCUUGGUAUUCCUUGGAGCAUGCCUGUUUGAGAGUC